GAUUAACGCUAGCGGCAGGCAUAAUACAUGCAAGUUGAACGGCAGCACAGGUAGCAAUACUGGGUGGCGAGUGGCGCACGGGUGCGUAACACGUAUGCAACCUACCCUAUACAGGCGAAUAACCUUUAGAAAUGAGGGCUAAUACGCCGUAGUAUUACAGAUGGGCAUCUAUUUGUAAUUAAAGAUUUAUCGGUAUAGGAUGGGCAUGCGUCCCAUUAGUUAGUUGGUAAGGUAACGGCUUACCAAGACGAUGAUGGGUAGGGGAUCUGAGAGGACUUACCCCCACACUGGUACUGAGACACGGACCAGACUCCUACGGGAGGCAGCAGUAAGGAAUAUUGGGCAAUGGCCGCGAGGCUGAUCCAGCCAUGCCGCGUGCAGGAAGACGGCCUUAUGGGUUGUAAACUGCUUUUAUACGGGAAUAAUAGAGUGUACGCGUACAUUUAUGCAAGUAUCGUAUGAAUAAGCAUCGGCUAACUCCGUG
rnacentral:rRNA from 1 species